UACGUAGGGCGCAAGCGUUAUCCGGAAUUAUUGGGCGUAAAGGGCUCGUAGGCGGUUUGUCGCGUCGGGAGUGAAAACCUCGGGCUUAACUCGGGGCUUGCUUUCGAUACGGGCAGACUGGAGGUAUGCAGGGGAGAACGGAAUUCCUGGUGUAGCGGUGAAAUGCGCAGAUAUCAGGAGGAACACCGGUGGCGAAGGCGGUUCUCUGGGCAUUACCUGACGCUGAGGAGCGAAAGUGUGGGGAGCGAACAGG
rnacentral:rRNA from 1 species